GAGAAACUGUAUUUCGCCCGCGAA
rnacentral:siRNA from 1 species